rnacentral:misc_RNA from 1 species
AUUUAUUAGAAAUGAUAAAUUUAAUUUUAUGAAUAUUAGAAUAUUAAAAAAAAUUAGCAUGUAUUAUUUAAUAAAUUUUAUUUAUUAAUUUAAUUUUAUCAUUUAUAAAGAUGCCACUGUAUUUUGAUUUUCUACUUUUCAAGAAUGGAUGUAAUCCACCAAAUUCAUUUGUUGUCGUUGGAGUCCUCUUCUUCCUUUGGUGGUGGGCUUGCUUGUGGUGUCCUGCGUAGCUUGCUCACAUUAUAUCCUUCUCUUUUAGCCUUCUCCACCAACUGGUUGUAGAUCUCAUCAUCAA